rfam:Trichobilharzia regenti genome assembly, scaffold: TRE_scaffold0004150
AUCCAGAUGACGAGUCCCAAAUAGGCCGAAAUGCGUAUCAUGGAU